UACGUAGGGGGCGAGCGUUAUCCGGAUUUAUUGGGCGUAAAGAGCUCGUAGGCGGUUUGUCGCGUCGGCCGUGAAAUCUCCACGCUUAACGUGGAGCGUGCGGUCGAUACGGGCAGACUUGAGUUCGGUAGGGGAGACUGGAAUUCCUGGUGUAGCGGUGAAAUGCGCAGAUAUCAGGGGAACACCGGUGGCGAAGGCGGGUCUCUGGGCCGAUC
rnacentral:rRNA from 1 species